rnacentral:misc_RNA from 1 species
UUUCCGUAGGUGAACCUGCGGAAGGAUCAUUAAAGAAUCGCCCCGUUUUUUAUAAAUGGGUUCUAUUCCCGAACCGUGUAUACAUACCUUUGUUGCUUUGGCAGGCCGCCUCCGGGCGUCGGCUCCGGCUGAUAGUGCCUGCCAGAGGACCCAAACUCUGUGUUUAGUGAUGUCUGAGUACUAUAUAAUAGUUAAAACUUUCAACAACGGAUCUCUUGGUUCUG